AUCCUUGGGCAGGUGCAAUAUCCGACUGCGUGAAGUUGAAAAACUGAUGGCGGAUGAUUGCUAAUUGAAAACUAAAACCAAUAGCCCUCCUUACGUCCCUUGGCCCUAAAAGCUGGGACGGCGGGAAAUUUUUAACGGCGUGCCAAUUUUGGAACGCC
rnacentral:snRNA from 1 species